ensembl:snRNA U6 U6 spliceosomal RNA
GUGCUUCAGCAGUACACAUACUAAAAUCAGAAUGACACGGAGGAAUGCAGCACGACCCCUGGGCAGAAUAAUGUGCAAAUUCAUGAAGCAUUCCAUAUUUUU